UACGAAGGGGGCUAGCGUUGUUCGGAAUCACUGGGCGUAAAGGGCGCGUAGGCGGCUGUUCAAGUCGGGGGUGAAAUCCCGUGGCUCAACCACGGAAUGGCCUUCGAUACUGGACGGCUAGAGACCGGAAGAGGUGAGUGGAACUGCGAGUGUAGAAGUGAAAUUCGUAGAUAUUCGCAAGAACACCAGUGGCGAAGGCGGCUCACUGGUCCGGUUCUGACGCUGAGGCGCGAAAGCGUGGGGAGCAAACAGG
rnacentral:rRNA from 1 species